GAGUUUGAUCCUGGUUCAGGAUGAACGCUAGCUACAGGCUUAACACAUGCAAGUCGAGCGGUUUGUGCUUUUGCACAUUCAGCGGCAGACGGGUGAGUAACACGUAUCUAACCUUCCCCUUACUUGGGCAUAGCCUCUGGAAACGGAGAUUAAUUUCCGAUGUGGUGUACAUUUCGCAUGUUUUGCGCACCAAAGAUUUAUCGGUAAGGGAUGGGGAUGCGCUCCAUUAGGUUGUAGGUAGGGUAAUGGCCUACCUAGCCUAUGAUGGAUAGGGGUUCUGAGAGGAAGGUCCCCCACAUUGGAACUGCGACACGGUCCAAACUCCUACGGGAGGCAGCAGUGAGGAAUAUUGGUCAAUGGCCGGAAGGCUGAACCAGCCAAGUAGCGUGCAGGAUGACUGCCUUAUGGGUUGUAAACUGCUUUUUUACGGGAAUAAUUAUGAUCACGUGUAAUUAUUUGCAUGUACCGUAAG
rnacentral:rRNA from 1 species